rnacentral:rRNA from 1 species
GGCCAGACUCCUACGGGAGGCAGCAGUGGGGGAUAUUGCACAAUGGGGGAAACCCUGAUGCAGCGACGCCGCGUGUGGGAAGACGGUCCUCUGGAUUGUAAACCACUGUCCCCAGGGACGAAGAUGACGGUACCUGGGGAGGAAGCUCCGGCUAACUACGUGCCAGCAGCCGCGGUAAUACGUAGGUGGCAAGCGUUGUCCGGAUUUACUGGGUGUAAAGGGCGUGCAGCCGGGCUGACAAGUCAGAUGUGAAAUCCCGCGGCUCAACCGCGGAACUGCAUUUGAAACUGUCAGUCUUGAGUACCGGAGAGGUCAUCGGAAUUCCUUGUGUAGCGGUGAAAUGCGUAGAUAUAAGGAAGAACACCAGUGGCGAAGGCGGAUGACUGGACGGCAACUGACGGUGAGGCGCGAAAGCGUGGGGAGCAACCAGGAUUAGAUACCCCGGUAGA